rnacentral:rRNA from 1 species
UACGAAGGGGGCUAGCGUUGCUCGGAAUCACUGGGCGUAAGCGCACGUAGGCGGACUCUUAAGUCGGUGGUGAAAUCCUGGAGCUCAACUCCAGAACUGCCUUCGAUACUGAGAGUCUUGAGUUCGGAAGAGGUUGGUGGAACUGCGAGUGUAGAGGUGAAAUUCGUAGAUAUUCGCAAGAACACCAGUGGCGAAGGCGGCCAACUGGUCCGAUACUGACGCUGAGGUGCGAAAGCGUGGGGAGCAAACAGG